rnacentral:piRNA from 1 species
UAGCUGUGUAAGUUCUGCAGGGACUCAGA